AGAGUUUGAUCAUGGCUCAGGAUGAACGCUGGCGGCGUGCCUUAAGCAUGCAAGUCAAGGGGACCCCGCAAGGGGUUACCGGCGGACGGGUGAGUAAUACGUGGGAAUCUACCUUGAAGUGGGAUAUAGCUCGUCGAAAGACGGGGUAAUCUCCCAUGUGAUCGCAAGAUCAAAGCAGCAAUGCGCUUUAAGAUGAGCCUGCGUCCUAUCAGCUUGUUGGUGGGGUAAUGGCCUACCAAGGCGACGACGGGUAGCUGGUCUGAGAGGAUGGUCAGCCACAAUGGGACUGAGACACGGCCCAUACAUCUACGGAUGGCAGCAACUGGGAAUAUUCGGCAAUGGGCGAAAGCCUGACCGAGCGACGCCGCGUGGAGGAUGAAGGCCCUCGGGUUGUAAACUCCUUUUGCAUAGGAAGAUUAUGACGGUACUAUGCGAAUAAGCACCUGCUAACUACGUGCCAGAAGCCUCGGUAAUACGUAGGGUGCAAGCGUUAUCCGGAUUCAUUGGGCGUAAAGAGUUGCGUAGGCUGAUUUGUGCAUUUUGCUUGAAAGACAGCGGCUCAAUCGUUGUUUGUGGCAAAACAUGGCAAAUCUAGAAAGAUACAGAGGGUACUGGAACCGAUUAUGUAGCAGUGAAAUGCGUUGAUAUGAUCGGGAACACCAAAGGCGUAGGCAGGUACCUGGGUAUUUUUUGACGCUGAGGCACGAAAGCUUGGGGAGCGAAAAGGAUUAGAGACCCUUGUAGUCCAAGCUGUAAACUAUCCUUGCUAGAUGGAGUCGGUUUUCCCGGCUCUGUCGUAAGCUAACGCGUUAAGCAAGGCGCCUGGGGGAGUACGAACGCAAGUUUAAAACUCAAAGGAAUUGACGGGGAGGCGCACAGCAGUGGAGCGUGUGGUUCAAUUCGAUACGAAACGAAAAACCUCACCAGGGUUUGACAUGUACCUGCAAGCGCACGGAAACGUGUGACCUUCGAGGGUGGUACACAGAUGCUGCAUGGCUGUCGUCAGCUCGUGGCGUGAGCUGUUCCAUUAAGUUGGGAAACGAGCGCAACCCUCAUCGUAUGUUAAAUAAUUCAUGCGAAACAGCCCCGAUUCGUCGGGGAGGAAGGCGAGGAUGACGUCAAGUCAGCACGGUUCUUACACCCUGGGCUACAAACACACUACAAUGGCGAAUAACAACGAGUUGCAAGUACGCAAGUACAAGCUAAUCUCUAAAAUUUCGCCUCAGUUCAGAUUGGGGUCUGCAACUCGACCCCAUGAAGCCGGAAUUGCUAGUAAUCGCGGAUCAGCGUGCCGCGGUGAAUACGUUCUCGGGUCUUGUACACACCGCCCGUCAAGGCAGCAAAGUCAGGGGCGCCUGAAGUGCCAUUUAUGGUUCCAAGGCGAAACUGGCGAUGAAGCUUAAGUCGUAACAAGGUAACC
rnacentral:rRNA from 1 species